GAUGAACGCUGGCGGCGUGCCUAAUACAUGCAAGUCGAGCGAACAGACGAGGAGCUUGCUCCUCUGACGUUAGCGGCGGACGGGUGAGUAACACGUGGAUAACCUACCUAUAAGACUGGGAUAACUUCGGGAAACCGGAGCUAAUACCGGAUAAUAUAUUGAACCGCAUGGUUCAAUAGUGAAAGACGGUUUUGCUGUCACUUAUAGAUGGAUCCGCGCUGCAUUAGCUAGUUGGUAAGGUAACGGCUUACCAAGGCAACGAUGCGUAGCCGACCGGAGAGGGGGAUCGGCCACACUGGAACGGAGACACGGACCAGACUCCUACGGGAGGCAGCAGUAGGGAAUCUUCCGCAAUGGGCGAAAGCCUGACGGAGCAACGCCGAGUGAGUGAUGAAGGUCUUCGGAUCGUAAAACUCUGUUAUUAGGGAAGAACAAAUGUGUAAGUAACUAUGCACGUCUUGACGGUACCUAAUCAGAAAGCCACGGCUAACUACGUG
rnacentral:rRNA from 1 species